GACCCCUUCAUCUAGAGGCCAAGGAUAUUGCUUUUUUCGGAGCAAAAACGGAAGUUCAAAUCUUUCAGGGGUCGCCA
rnacentral:tRNA from 1 species